rnacentral:tRNA from 1 species
GAGGUUAUAGCUCAGUGGUAGAGUGCCUGCUUAGCACGCACAAGGUCCUGGGUUCAAUCCCCAGUACUUCCA